rnacentral:rRNA from 1 species
CCUACGGGGGGCUGCAGUGAGGAAUAUUGGUCAAUGGACGAGAGUCUGAACCAGCCAAGUAGCGUGAAGGAUGACUGCCCUAUGGGUUGUAAACUUCUUUUAUAUGGGAAUAAAACAGGGUAUGCAUACUCUUUUGUAUGUACCAUAUGAAUAAGGACCGGCUAACUCCGUGCCAGCAGCCGCGGUAAUACGGAGGAUCCGAGCGUUAUCCGGAUUUAUUGGGUUUAAAGGGAGCGUAGAUGGGUUGUUAAGUCAGUUGUGAAAGUUUGCGGCUCAACCGUAAAAUUGCAAUUGAUACUGGCAGUCUUGAGUACAGUUGAGGUAAGCGGAAUUCGUGGUGUAGCGGUGAAAUGCUUAGAUAUCACGAAGAACCCCGAUUGCGAAGGCAGCUUACUAAACUGUGACUGACAUUGAUGCUCGAAAGUGUGGGUAUCAAACAGGAUUAGAUACCCCAGUAGUC